rnacentral:piRNA from 1 species
UGCCAGGUCAACAGUAUUAGGCUUCUGAUG